rnacentral:tRNA from 1 species
GGGUGGUUAGCUCAGUCGGCAGAGCGCGUCGUUCACACCGACGAGGUCACUGGUUCAAGUCCAGUACCACCCACCA